GUGCUUAACACAUGCAAGUCGAACGGAGUUGUUUCGCUGACGAGACUUCGGUCAAAUCUUGAAACAACUUAGUGGCGGACGGGUGAGUAACGCGUGGGUAACCUGCCAUAUACAGGGGGAUAACACUUAGAAAUAGGUGCUAAUACCGCAUAAGCGCACAGAGCUGCAUGGCUCAGUGUGAAAAACUCCGGUGGUAUAUGAUGGACCCGCGUCUGAUUAGCUAGUUGGUGAGGUAACGGCCCACCAAGGCGACGAUCAGUAGCCGGCCUGAGAGGGUGAACGGCCACAUUGGGACUGAGACACGGCCCAAACUCCUACGGGAGGCAGCAGUGGGGAAUAUUGCACAAUGGGGGAAACCCUGAUGCAGCGACGCCGCGUGAGUGAAGAAGUAUUUCGGUAUGUAAAGCUCUAUCAGCAAGGAAGAAAAUGACGGUACUUGACUAAGAAGCCCCGGCUAACUACGUGCCAGCAGCCGCGGUAAUACGUAGGGGGCAAGCGUUAUCCGGAUUUACUGGGUGUAAAGGGAGCGUAGACGGUUGUGCAAGUCUGAUGUGAAAACCCAAGGCUCAACCAUGGGACUGCAUUGGAAACUGUAUAACUAGAGUGCAGGAGAGGUAAGUGGAAUUCCUAGUGUAGCGGUGAAAUGCGUAGAUAUUAGGAGGAACACCAGUGGCGAAGGCGGCUUACUGGACUGUAACUGACGUUGAGGCUCGAAAGCGUGGGGAGCAAACAGGAUUAGAUACCCUGGUAGUCCACGCCGUAAACGAUGAUUACUAGGUGUCGGGGGUUUAUAAACCUUCGGUGCCGCAGCUAACGCAAUAAGUAAUCCACCUGGGGAGUACGUUCGCAAGAAUGAAACUCAAAGGAAUUGACGG
rnacentral:rRNA from 1 species